AGAGUUUGAUCAUGGCUCAGAGCGAACGCUGGCGGCGUGCCUAACACAUGCAAGUCGAACGUGAAAGUGUAGCAAUACAUGAGUAAAGUGGCGUACGGGUGAGUAACACGUGGGUAAUCUACCUAAGUGUCUGGAAUAACCUGCCGAAAGGCGGGCUAAUACUGGAUAGAGCGAUUAAGGCGUAAGAGUCUUGAUUGGGAAAGGGGGCUUUUAGCUCUCGCUUUUAGAUGAGCCCGCGUCCCAUUUGCUAGUUGGCGGGGUAAUGGCCCACCAAGGCGAUGAUGGGUAGCUGGUCUGAGAGGAUGAUCAGCCACACUGGAACUGAAACACGGUCCAGACUACUACGGGAGGCAGCAGUGGGGAAUCUUGCGCAAUGGACGAAAGUCUGACGCAGCCACGCCGCGUGAGUGAAGAAGGCCUUCGGGUUGUAAAGCUCUGUCGGAUGGGACGAAUGCCUUAGAGAAUAAUACCUCUAAGUUUGACGGUACCAUUAAAGGAAGCACCGGCUAACUUCGUGCCAGCAGCCGCGGUAAUACGAGGGGUGCAAGCGUUGCUCGGAAUCAUUGGGCGUAAAGGGUAGGUAGGUGGUCUGAUUUGUCUGGGGUGAAAGCCUUGGGCUCAACUCAAGAAGUGCCUUAGAAACGGUCAGACUAGAGUCCUGGAGAGGAUCGCGGAAUUCCCGGUGUAGCGGUGAAAUGCGUAGAGAUCGGGAGGAACACCAGAGGCGAAGGCGGCGAUCUGGACAGGAACUGACACUCAACUACGAAAGCAUGGGUAGCAAACAGGAUUAGAUACCCUGGUAGUCCAUGCUGUAAACGAUGGGUACUAGACUUGGUGGGACUUGACCCCUGCCGAGUCGGAGCUAACGCAAUAAGUACCCCGCCUGGGAAGUACGGUCGC
rnacentral:rRNA from 1 species